UGCAUCUCAGGGCCCUGCAGGAGCCCCCUCAACCCUGGAUUCCAGGGGAGCCAUCAGCAAAGCCACCACCCAGCUGGCCCUGGGCCUCUAGCAACAGCCCUACAAUCCCCCCUGAGGUGAGGGGGUGCAGCCCCCAGGGUGUCAGCACUGCAGCCUGCACAGAGGGGACCCUGAAACACCCAGGGACAGUUUUGCAUGUUAUUACUGAGGUGGGGCAGAAGCAACAGCUGGUUACUCAUCAGAUUAAAGACAAACAUAUAAUUUUCCCCUCUACACCAAAGUACCAAGAGCUCUAACUAUAACCAGCCCUUCAAAGCCCACUCUCCCAGGGAGCACUGAAGCUCUCUAUCUAACCAUUUUCUACAAGGGGAAGAAUCUAACCUGAUACUUAAUGGUCACGGCAACUCUGUAAUUUGAAAAUGCAAUUGUGACGGGGAAAGAGGGCAAUUUAGCAGCACUGUCCGGCACAGGGACCAACCACCUCUUCUGCCGCAUCAUUUCCCUACACCGACCAGCCCUCUGUACAGGGACAAGCAUCUCCACAGGGAGGGAGCAGCAAGGGCAAAAGGCACGCAAAUAACGUUGUUAAAUACACCCUAAAAGGCUUUGUGGGCCACAAUAAUGACCAGCUACGUUUUCAAAUCAGUUCAUUUCCUGCCUGGCUUUGGACGAGCCAAUCAAACUCUCACCGCUGUUAAGUGCAUGGGAAAAUGACACACCUCUCCCGUAGGCAGCCAGGACAGUGCUGGGCAGAGCAGGUGCCAGCCAGGAUAUAAUCACACAAAUUGAUUGUGUGACCAGGGUCUUAUUCGGGCGUCACAGCUGAGGAUAAACCUCGUGUGAUUUGGCAUGACACACCCACCAUUAAGGACCACGGUCGUAGAACGUGUGUUGAACCGACGUCCACGCAGCCCUCAGACCGCGCUGGUUGGAACCUGUGCCCUGGCACGCAAGGUCUCAGCCUCCCAGGUAGUGGGAAGACACGUCCCGGCAAGCCAAGGACCGUGGCAGACACCGGGGGCCCCCAGAAGCUGGAGACUCCCACGUGCAGAAGUCCCUGCUGUGAGUACUCGAGCCUGGGGAAGGCAGACUGGGUUCACCGUCUUGGCCUAGGAGUGAAAGAGCAAAUACGAACAAUAAAAAAAACCCUGAGGUGUAAGGUA